AAGACAGUGAGGGAGGAAGUUAGAGAGAGAAAUAACAACACGUUCUGACCUUCCGGCCGCAGGAUCUCAGGGUUGCGUGUGACUGACGGCUGAGAUGUUUACACGGAGCGUAGGGAGAGAACACAAUCUCUCCUUCUCUCUCUGUCUUCUACACUUCCUCCUGGCUCUCUGACCUGCUUCCAGAAAUCAUAACGAUGACAAAUGGUGGACUUUCAGGGUCCGAACCCCUUUUCAAAGCUGUCGUGUGGAAUGUAGGUCAUCAACCCGAGAGACAGGAAAUGAGAUACGGAGAGAGAAAGAUUCACUGAGGCUGAAGAAGCCUAAUUUUGAAACUGAGUUUGGAAGAUGUGGAUUUUCUGACUGACUGAAUCACCCCUGCAGGCGCUCGUGAUCCGAGCAGACCUCGCCUACCUGAGCUGGGUAUUGUGGAGGUUCAAGCCUCAGCAACAUCAAGCUGACACUGUAGGGCCCUCGAGCAAGGCCUAACCCCAUCUCCUCCAGAGGCACCGUAUCACGGCUGAACCUGCACUCUGACCCCGACUUCCUAACAAGCUAGGACAUUCCUGACAUCAGAACCUGCCAGAGGAACUUGGUGGUGCUGAGAGAAGCUGUCAAUCAUCACUGCAGAUGUCGUGUGUGUGUGUGUGUGAGUGUGUGUGUGUGUGUGUGUGUGUGU